ensembl:lncRNA
UGCCCAGAAAGACACACUUUCAAACAAGCAGCCACGGCUCACAGCAAUUUUUUAAUGGUGACUGUUUCAGUCCAGAGGUAAAAACAGUGUGACUCCUCUUGAGCCUGCCCAGGAGAUCAGGGAUAAUGAGGACUAAUUUGAGCAUGUUUGUUUGGCUUUUUCGGCAGCGGAGGGGAGCAGCAGCAGAAAUACUGGCUCUUGGAUCAUUAAAGGGGCAAACACUUGAGAGAAGCAUGGGCUCCCCUGGGGAGAAGCAGGAUUCCUGGCUGCCAGCCGCCUGCCUGGGAGGACUAGCCCACCUAUCACCCCCAAGACAGACCUCGCUAGCUGAGAGCUCUCUCACUCCCUCUCUCUGUAGCUCUUCCAAGCCUCGUGAGCAGUUUUAACUGUGCCCACCUACCUCCUGCCAUUUCACGCAGGCAUGCAUCCCCCUUAGCACUCUGCCCUCUUAUCCAUCAGAAAGAGGAGAAAGGAAGGGAGCCUCCUUGGGGAGCCUCUGCUCCCAGGAAAGUCUGCUCCUCCCUCCCAUGCCCUCUGCCCACCCUCAGCUGCCCCAGCCCGGUGGCCCAGGGCAGAGAGGGGCCCUAUUACCCUGGCCUGGGAGCCUCUCUCUCUUCCUGGUACUAAGGGAUGGCCUUGGGCCGCCUGCUCUCAGCUCACUCUUGGGCUUUGCAAGCGCUGCUGCUGCCACCAUCAGGCAGAUGUAGGAACUGCAGAGCUCACCUGGUUUUUAAGAUCCCCAAACUUUCUAUUUAAUGUUCCAACAGCUCUUGACCAAUGUGGUCCUAAGACAAACACAGGCCCUCUCCGCGCCAGACGCACGGACCCAGUGUCUUAUGCAAGACAAAGGCUUCCGAGUCCAGCUCCCCAAAGAAAUGACACUUCCUGUGAACGUGGGGUAGACUCCAGCAUCCUUAAGCGAGGCAUAGAAAAGUGCGGGCCCUCGGACAUAGAGAACAAAGCCACGGGGAGAUUAAUUGGCAGUUGUUCUUUCUCUGUGACCAGGGUACUGGGGCAGGGAAGGAAGGCGGUCGCUCCCUGUGCGGCACUGGGACGGGUCCCCAGGAGACAAGUCAAGUUCCUGUCCCCUGCACGCCUGCAUGAUGAGCCAGCCCGGCCCCAUGUCACUCUGAAGCUGUCAUAGCUUCCAGCAUCGCCAAAGGUGACAGGUGGCCUGUCACACCGGAGCUGUGACACCUGUGACGCGUGCAGGCGGCUGACAGAGAUGGGGCCUGGCAUGCAGGAGAGAACAGAAGGCCCGACUGUUUCUUGGGAGGGGUCAGUGGCUGCCAGAGGGUAUUUCUCUUGGCAGUGUUCCUGGUGACCCGAUGGCCAUUCAAGGCCUUGCUGGGAGAGGAAGAGCUUCCUAUAGGGCAAGACCAUAAUUUAAACUCUCGGGGUCUUUCCUCUGUCCUCCGUGGGGGCGUCUCAGCUUCUGCUCUGGUGCAUGGUGAAGUGGGGGUGUCAGAGGGACUGCUUUUUCUUUCUUUCACUUUUUCUCACAUUUCAUUUUUUUGGCCACACUUGUGGCAUGCAGAACUUCCCGGACCAGGGAUUGAACCUGCGCUUCCCUGCAGUGGAAGCAUGGAGUCUUAACUGCUGGACUGCAAGGGAAGUCCAUGUUUCAGUAUUUCAAUAUUCAUUCGCCUCCUAAGUGCUGAAUAGUAUGUGCCACACAGGGUAUAAAAGAAAUGGAGGUUUUAAUCAACCAGCUAAGAAAAGCACCUGCCUUGUGUUUGCUUUCAUUUUUGUCAGAACAGUCACAAAGGAGUUUCCCAGGUAGCAUCUCCUUGGUUGCUAUUCAGCCCAAAAGGCCAACCUAUCAUUUCUCCCUGGGAAGAGGGGACUGGAAACCUUGAAUCCUCAAGGUAACACUGAAGGUCAGACAAAGGAAGGGAUCAACUCAGGAAGAGUCUGGAGUAAAAACAAGGGAGAGAGCUGCAACUUGGGGUCACGGUUCAAAGGUUAGCUUCCCAAUUUCCAUAAGGAACCCCCAGCGCCCUUCUCUGUGCCUGNNNNNNNNNNNNNNNNNNNNNNNNNNNNNNNNNNNNNNNNNNNNNNNNNNNNNNNNNNNNNNNNNNNNNNNNNNNNNNNNNNNNNNNNNNNNNNNNNNNGUGCCUGGGCAAUGAGGACUCACACAGGUUCUAAGAACAUGGCUCAUCUCAGGCUCCAGCUUAGCAGCUUCUCCUGCAUCCGUCCGUUUUGCUGAUGUGGAUCCACCAGCAUCUUGAGAUGCACCAAGGCUUCUGGACCACACAGUCAGCUGGAUGGGGAGCCGUGGUCAAACAGCCGAACCGCUCCGAGGUUUAUGACAAUAGAUGACUCUCACUGCUAUCACGGUGGCGAAUGAAGCACCGCUUGUGGAAGGUCAUAUGCAAACACUAAAUUAUCAUCAUUG